UCGGGAAUUUUGGGCAAUGGGCGAAAGCCUGACCCAGCAACGCCGCGUGAGGGAUGAAGUAUUUCGGUAUGUAAACCUCGAAAGAAUGGGAAGAAUAAAUGACGGUACCAUUUAUAAGCUCCGGCUAACUACGUGCCAGCAGCCGCGGUAAUACGUAGGGAGCAAGCGUUGUUCGGAUUUACUGGGCGUAAAGGGCGCGUAGGCGGCGCGGUAAGUCACUUGUGAAAUCUCUGAUCUUAACUCAGAACGGCCAAGUGAUACUGCUGUGCUAGAGUGCGGAAGAGGCAACCGGAAUUCUUGGUGUAGCGGGGAAAUGCGUAGAUAUCAAGAGGAACACCAGAGACGAAGGCGGGUUGCUGGGCCGACACUGACGCUGAUGCGCGAAAGCCAGGGGA
rnacentral:rRNA from 1 species